UACGUAGGGUGCAAGCGUUAAUCGGAAUUACUGGGCGUAAAGCGUGCGCAGGCGGUUUUGUAAGUCUGACGUGAAAUCCCCGGGCUCAACCUGGGAAUUGCGUUGGAGACUGCAAGGCUAGAAUCUGGCAGAGGGGAGUAGAAUUCCACGUGUAGCAGUGAAAUGCGUAGAGAUGUGGAGGAACACCGAUGGCGAAGGCAGCCCCCUGGGUCAAGAUUGACGCUCAUGCACGAAAGCGUGGGGAGCAAACAGG
rnacentral:rRNA from 1 species